GAAAAAAAUAAAACAGGAAACCACGCUCUGUCUAUGCCUCCGUUGUGUGUCCGACCCAGCGUUGUGAUUGGGGGAAGUAGUGCUCACACCAUUUCUUGUCCAUUGACAUCAGCGCUCCACGCCUGCGCCCCCGAAUUCCCAAAUCCUGCGGCGCCUCCGCCCCAACCCCGCUCGUCGACUCCUCUCUUCCGAACACGCCGGAGGAAUCCUUCUCCGACUCGUCUUCCACCUCUCUGCCGGGCUGGCGUGGAUUGGUCUCUUCUUCUGCUGGAAGUGGAUUAUUUGCAUGCUCAAUCUAUGUUCAUUGCUGAAGUUACCUUUCAAAUUCAAAUUCUCGGGUAGAGCCACCUUUAAUUGUGAUGUACAGAGAUAUCAGUAUCAUUAUCUAAAAUAUUAUCACAGAACUGAGGAAGGAGAAAAAAGGUGGAGCAUCUUCAAACAAGAACAACCGGGUACGGUUCCUCAAAUCCUCUGUUUGGUGGAGCAUCUUCAAACAAGAACAACCGGGGAUGCUUCUAGCUCUGGUACUCUUUUUUGAUAACAGGAAGUUCAAGGAUGUGAAUUUUCCACCAGCUAUGUCUCCCCCAAAACGGUGGGAUCAUGUGUGGUAUGCUCUAACAGGGUAUGGUAUUGGCUUGGUAGCUGCACUAGAUGCUGGGAUCUUGUCUUAGUCUCCUCAACAGCCUUACUGUACCUG
rnacentral:misc_RNA from 1 species